CCUACGGGAGGCAGCAGUGGGGAAUCUUGCGCAAUGGGCGAAAGCCUGACGCAGCAACGCCGCGUGCGGGAUGAAGGCCUUCGGGUUGUAAACCGCUUUCAGCAGGGAAGAAAUUGACGGUACCUGCAGAAGAAGCCCCGGCCAACUACGUGCCAGCAGCCGCGGUAACACGUAGGGGGCGAGCGUUGUCCGGAUUUAUUGGGCGUAAAGAGCUCGUAGGCGGUUCGGUAAGUCGGGUGUGAAACCUCCAGGCUCAACCUGGAGACGCCACCUGAUACUG
rnacentral:rRNA from 1 species